UACGGGGGGGGCAAGCGUUGUUCGGAAUUACUGGGCGUAAAGGGCUCGUAGGCGGCCAACUAAGUCAGACGUGAAAUCCCCAGGCUCAACCUGGGAACUGCGUCUGAUACUGGAUGGCUUGAAUUCGGGAGAGGGAUGCAGAAUUCCAGGUGUAGCGGUGAAAUGCGUAGAUAUCUGGAGGAACACCGGUGGCGAAGGCGGCGUUCUGGAACGUUCCUGACACUGAGGCACGAAAGCGUGGGGAGCAAACAGG
rnacentral:rRNA from 1 species